UUGAAAGGGAAACGAUUGAAGUCAGUCGUACCUGUGGGUAAUCAGCCUUUUGGGGGCGAUUUUGUGGAGUGUGAGGAGUUAAACGCCUUCAUGCCUGCNUAUUCGUGCACUUUGGGUGUAUUUACCCGUGUGGUAAGUUAACAUCAAUUUCGGUGGUCAUAAAAUGGCUGGAGGAAUGUAGCUUUGAUCUCGUAUUGAAGUGUUAUAGCCUUCGGUAGAUGUGAUAAUCGGGAUUGAGGAUUGCAACGGAUACCCUUCGGGGCUACCUGUCUGAUCUCUGAUCGUUGCUCUGGUGCCGAAAGCUUGCUUACGGUUAUCAAAGUCGAUGGUCAAUAGGUUAGAAUGGGUUAAAUUCGUUAAGGAUGUUGACGUA
rnacentral:rRNA from 1 species